UGAUUUACACAAGCAAUAGUGUCCUUGUGAGAUUUCAAAAACCUAUAAACCAAUUCAUAGGUUGGGACUAUUUGAUUCUCCAGACUUGAACAGAGCACCAUAGGGUUCAUACUGACAAGGUUAACAAUGUCGGAGUUAGAAGCACCUUUGGAGAGAAAAAAUUGAAACUUUGGCAACA